rfam:Lyngbya majuscula 3L genomic scaffold scf52118, whole genome shotgun sequence.
GUCAACUACCGCACACUGACCCGAUGCGGGUACAGUGUGGGCUUGAAUAAAGCCUGUUGACCAGACGGCCUUAAAAAUAAGCGCAGCCGUUAGUACCAAGAGUUAAAGUUCGUACCUUGGAAUGCGUGCCAGUUCCAAGCUCUACAACCGGGUGAUUAAACAGGCCAUUCGGGAAAGCCAGUGUGAUCCGGAAAGUACCGAGUACUAACACCGUCUAGGCAAACCUUAC